UUCCUGGGCCAUUAGCUCAGGUGGUUAGAGCGCACCCCUGAUAAGGGAGAGGUCCCUGGUUCAAGUCCAGGAUGGCCCAUUCGGUGUUGGGGGUUUAGCUCAGUUGGUAGAGCGCCUGCUUUGCAAGCAGGAUGUCAGCGGUUCGAGUCCGCUAACCUCCAUCAAUUCUGAUGUGGGAAACGGCAGAACGCCAUGGUGAUCUAGGGGAAGGUUUGUUGGUGAAUCCAGCCUCGUUUGAUACUCGUUAGUCGAGCUCAAAUGAUGCUGGACUCAGCAAUGGGUUCAGCAAGAACCUUGACAACUGCAUAGGUGAGUCUGGAAAUAAGCAUCUCACAGAGAUGAUCCAGGCAUUGAUUGAUGAUUUUGGUCAUCAAUGGAUGGAUGGAUUGUUAAUUCUGUGGAAGCCGAGAUCCAGUUGACUUGUCAACUGGAGAGUGAAAAUGGUCAAGCUACAAAGGGCUCACGGCGGAUACCUUGGCACACAGAGGCGAUGAA
rnacentral:tRNA from 1 species